UACAGGGGGGGCAAGCGUUGUUCGGAAUUACUGGGCGUAAAGGGCCAGUAGGCGGCCAACUAAGUCCGACGUGAAAUCCCCAAGCUUAACUUGGGAACUGCGUCGGAUACUGGAUGGCUUGAAUUCGGGAGAGGGAUGCAGAAUUCCAGGUGUAGCGGUGAAAUGCGUAGAUAUCGGGAGGAACACCAGUGGCGAAGGCGGCAUCCUGGCCAUGUCCUGACGCUCAGGGGCGAAAGCGUGGGGAGCAAACCGG
rnacentral:rRNA from 1 species